UCCCUGGCGGUCCAGUGGUUAGGACUCUGUACUUUCAUUGCUAGAGGCCCAGGUUCAAUCCCUGAUUGGGGAA
rnacentral:tRNA from 1 species